UAGAGACCAAGGCUGAGAGGUGUGCUUACCUGCCUAUGGUCUCACGGCCCAUCAGUGCUGGAACCACCUGGGACCCAGCUGCUCCCUCCUUGCCCAGGAUGUUCUCCACUAUUCUGCUUGCUUGCAGGUGCCCAGGAGGUUGCCAGCAAGGCCCACGGGGACUGGCCCCAUCAACACAUUUGGCCCUGAGUGGAGCUAGAGAACCAGUCAGAAGAGACACUGGGCCCUUCAGGGGGACUUCUGGCCUGGCAUCCUGACCUCAAGGCCCUGCCUACCCUGCAAGGACCUGGCUUACCAGGUGCUGUGACACUUCGCUUCACCUGCCUCACUUGACCUGAGGACUGGGGCCAGCUAGGCUUUUUCCAACAUUGAGUGGUGCCAUAGUUAUAUUGUUCUCCCAUCCCAAACUUUGAGGUCAGGAUUUUGACAAGCAGGGGAGGGGCUGACGGAGGUGGUAGGCAGUGCCGGGUUGAAGGGUCCUGUGUGAACAACCCCUGAGCCCCUCCAUUCCUGCUAGAGGAGACCCUUACCAGCAUAACUGGGGUCCUUGUGGCUAAAUGAAGCAGAAACCUCGUGACAGUGUCUUAAAUGAAGAGAGUUUUGUUUUGUUUCCCCCCAAAAAAGAAAUAGAGUGGCUUCUGAAAUCAAUCAGUGGCUCUGGCCAGAGUACCAGCCAUCCGAGGUAAGAAGGAAAAGAUGUCACCAGCAGGUGUCUGUUUCUGUCUCAUUGUCCAGACGGGUCUCAUGAUUCCUAGCUGCUCUGGAGGCUGAGGAAGUGUGGGUGGUGGAGGUGGGAACGGGAGAAGGGAAAGCAGUUGGAGAUCAGGCAGUAGCAUGUUGUUUGCAAGUGAUGGAAACCUAGUUUAGACUAGGACAGGCCACAGGGAAAUCAAUUGUCUCCUAUCACUAAGUGUCAGGAAGACCGGAGAGUCGCUGGGCCUCAAGAAUUGCUAGGGCUGGUGCUCCAACACUCCAGGGCUCUACUUUGCCUUUCUCUGAGCAUUGGCUUUUGUCUCUUGGACAGCCUCCUUCCUCUGAUCAACUGAAACUCAGCUGCCACUGCUCCUGAAAUCACAUGUCAUAGCUUGGCCUCCAGAAAAGAGGACGUAGUUUGUCCCUAGU
rnacentral:lncRNA from 12 species